GAGUGAACGCUGGCGGUAGGCCUAACACAUGCAAGUCGAACGGCAGCACAGUAAGAGCUUGCUCUUACGGGUGGCGCGUGGCGGACGGGAGAGGAAUACAACGGAAUCUACUUUUUCGUGGUGGCUACCGUAGGGAAACUUACGCUAAUACCGCAUACGACCUACGGGUGAAAGCAGGGGAUCUUCGGACCUUGCGCGAUUGAAUGAGUCGAUGUCGGCUUAGCUAGCUGGCAGGGUAAAGGCCUACCAAGGAGACGAGCCAUAGCCGACCUGAGUGGGUGAUCGGCCACACUGGAACUGAGACACGGUCCAGACUCCUACGGGAGGCAGCAGUCGGGAAGCUUCCGCAAGGGGCGAAAGCCUGAAGGAGCAACGCCGCGUGAGUGAUGAAGGUCUUCGGAUCGUAAAACUCUGUUAUUAGGGAAGAACAUAUGUGUAAGUAACUGUGCACAUCUUGACGGUACCUAAUCAGAAAGCCACGGCUAACUACGUG
rnacentral:rRNA from 1 species